AUUGAACGCUGGCGGCGUGCCUAACACAUGCAAGUCGAUUGGUAACGCGGGGGCAACCCUGGCGACGAGAGGCGGACGGGUGAGCAAUGCUUGGGAAUCUGCCCAUCAGCGGGGGACAACCCGGGGAAACCCGGGCUAAUACCGCAUACGCUCUACGGAGGAAAGCCGGGGACCGCAAGGCCUGGCACUGAUGGAUGAGCCCAAGUCGGAUUAGCUAGUUGGCGGGGUAACGGCCCACCAAGGCGACGAUCCGUAGCUGGUCUGAGAGGACGAUCAGCCACACCGGAACUGAGACACGGUCCGGACUCCUACGGGAGGCAGCAGUGGGGAAUAUUGGACAAUGGGGGAAACCCUGAUCCAGCGACGCCGCGUGGGUGAAGAAGGCCUGCGGGUUGUAAAGCCCUUUCGGUAGGGACGAAAGCUUCCGACCUAACACGUCGGGAGGUUGACUUAACCUACAGAAGAAGCACCGGCUAACUCUGUGCCAGCAGCCGCCGUAACAC
rnacentral:rRNA from 1 species